UCUGGAGACAGGUGCUGCAUGGCUGUCGUCAGCUCGUGUCGUGAGAUGUUGGGUUAAGUCCCGCAACGAGCGCAACCCUUGCCUUUAGUUGCCAGCAGUUCGGCUGGGCACUCUAAAGGGACUGCCGGUGUUAAACCGGAGGAAGGUGGGGAUGACGUUAAGUCCUCAUGGCCUUUAUGACCAGGGCUACACACGUACUACAAUGGCCGAUACAAAGGGCAGCGACACUGCGAGGUGAAGCCAAUCCCGUAAAAUCGGUCUCAGUCCGGAUUGGAGUCUGCAACUCGACUCCAUGAAGUUGGAAUCGCUAGUAAUCGUGGAUCAGCAUGCCACGGUGAAUACGUUCCCGGGCCUU
rnacentral:rRNA from 1 species